rnacentral:rRNA from 1 species
AGCGUACACGGUGGAUGCCCUGGCAGUCAGAGGCGAUGAAGGACGUGCUAAUCUGCGAUAAGCGUCGGUAAGGUGAUAUGAACCGUUAUAACCGGCGAUUUCCGAAUGGGGAAACCCAGUGUGAUUCGUCACACUAUCAUUAACUGAAUCCAUAGGUUAAUGAGGCGAACCGGGGGAACUGAAACAUCUAAGUACCCCGAGGAAAAGAAAUCAACCGAGAUUCCCCCAGUAGCGGCGAGCGAACGGGGAGCAGCCCAGAGCCUGAAUCAGUGUGUGUGUUAGUGGAAGCGUCUGGAAAGGCGCGCGAUACAGGGUGACAGCCCCGUACACAAAAAUGCACAUGCUGUGAGCUCGAUGAGUAGGGCGGGACACGUGGUAUCCUGUCUGAAUAUGGGGGGACCAUCCUCCAAGGCUAAAUACUCCUGACUGACCGAUAGUGAACCAGUACCGUGAGGGAAAGGCGAAAAGAACCCCGGCGAGGGGAGUGAAAAAGAACCUGAAACCGUGUACGUACAAGCAGUGGGAGCACGCUUAGGCGUGUGACUGCGUACCUUUUGUAUAAUGGGUCAGCGACUUAUAUUCUGUAGCAAGGUUAACCGAAUAGGGGAGCCGAAGGGAAACCGAGUCUUAACUGGGCGUUAAGUUGCAGGGUAUAGACCCGAAACCCGGUGAUCUAGCCAUGGGCAGGUUGAAGGUUGGGUAACACUAACUGGAGGACCGAACCGACUAAUGUUGAAAAAUUAGCGGAUGACUUGUGGCUGGGGGUGAAAGGCCAAUCAAACCGGGAGAUAGCUGGUUCUCCCCGAAAGCUAUUUAGGUAGCGCCUCGUGAAUUCAUCUCCGGGGGUAGAGCACUGUUUCGGCAAGGGGGUCAUCCCGACUUACCAACCCGAUGCAAACUGCGAAUACCGGAGAAUGUUAUCACGGGAGACACACGGCGGGUGCUAACGUCCGUCGUGAAGAGGGAAACAACCCAGACCGCCAGCUAAGGUCCCAAAGUCAUGGUUAAGUGGGAAACGAUGUGGGAAGGCCCAGACAGCCAGGAUGUUGGCUUAGAAGCAGCCAUCAUUUAAAGAAAGCGUAAUAGCUCACUGGUCGAGUCGGCCUGCGCGGAAGAUGUAACGGGGCUAAACCAUGCACCGAAGCUGCGGCAGCGACGCUUAUGCGUUGUUGGGUAGGGGAGCGUUCUGUAAGCCUGUGAAGGUGUACUGUGAGGUAUGCUGGAGGUAUCAGAAGUGCGAAUGCUGACAUAAGUAACGAUAAAGCGGGUGAAAAGCCCGCUCGCCGGAAGACCAAGGGUUCCUGUCCAACGUUAAUCGGGGCAGGGUGAGUCGACCCCUAAGGCGAGGCCGAAAGGCGUAGUCGAUGGGAAACAGGUUAAUAUUCCUGUACUUGGUGUUACUGCGAAGGGGGGACGGAGAAGGCUAUGUUGGCCGGGCGACGGUUGUCCCGGUUUAAGCGUGUAGGCUGGUUUUCCAGGCAAAUCCGGAAAAUCAAGGCUGAGGCGUGAUGACGAGGCACUACGGUGCUGAAGCAACAAAUGCCCUGCUUCCAGGAAAAGCCUCUAAGCAUCAGGUAACAUCAAAUCGUACCCCAAACCGACACAGGUGGUCAGGUAGAGAAUACCAAGGCGCUUGAGAGAACUCGGGUGAAGGAACUAGGCAAAAUGGUGCCGUAACUUCGGGAGAAGGCACGCUGAUAUGUAGGUGAAGUCCCUCGCGGAUGGAGCUGAAAUCAGUCGAAGAUACCAGCUGGCUGCAACUGUUUAUUAAAAACACAGCACUGUGCAAACACGAAAGUGGACGUAUACGGUGUGACGCCUGCCCGGUGCCGGAAGGUUAAUUGAUGGGGUUAGCGCAAGCGAAGCUCUUGAUCGAAGCCCCGGUAAACGGCGGCCGUAACUAUAACGGUCCUAAGGUAGCGAAAUUCCUUGUCGGGUAAGUUCCGACCUGCACGAAUGGCGUAAUGAUGGCCAGGCUGUCUCCACCCGAGACUCAGUGAAAUUGAACUCGCUGUGAAGAUGCAGUGUACCCGCGGCAAGACGGAAAGACCCCGUGAACCUUUACUAUAGCUUGACACUGAACAUUGAGCCUUGAUGUGUAGGAUAGGUGGGAGGCUUUGAAGUGUGGACGCCAGUCUGCAUGGAGCCGACCUUGAAAUACCACCCUUUAAUGUUUGAUGUUCUAACGUUGACCCGUAAUCCGGGUUGCGGACAGUGUCUGGUGGGUAGUUUGACUGGGGCGGUCGCCUCCCAAAAUGUAACGGAGGCAUGCAAAGGUUCCCUCAGGCUGAUUGGAAACCAGCCGUCGAGUGCAAACGCAAAAGGGAGCUUGACUGCAAGAGAGACAUCUCGAGCAGGUACGAAAGUAGGUGUUAGUGAUCCGGUGAUCCCGAAUGGAAGGGUCAUCGCUCAUUGGAUAAAAGGUACGCCGGGGAUAACAGGCUGAUCGCAUCCAAGAGUUCACAUCGACGAUGCGGUUUGGCACCUCGAUGUCGGCUCAUCACAUCCUGGGGCUGAAGCAGGUCCCAAGGGUACGGCUGUUCGCCGUUUAAAGUGGUACGCGAGCUGGGUUUAAAACGUCGUGAGACAGUUUGGUCCCUAUCUUCUGUGGGCGUAGGAGAAUUGAAAGGGCCUGUCCCUAGUACGAGAGGACCGGGAUGGACACACCACUGGUGGACCUGUUGUCGUGCCAACGGCACAGCAGGGUAGCUAUGUGUGGAAGGGAUAACCGCUGAAAGCAUCUAAGCGGGAAGCCUGCCUUAAGAUAAGUUCUCCCUGACGCAAGUCCUGAAGGGCCGAGGUAGACGACCUCGUUGAUAGGCUGGAGGUGGAAGCCCUGUGAGGGGUGGAGCUGACCAGUACUAAUAGCCCGUGCGUCUUGUUU